rnacentral:RNase_P_RNA from 1 species
AAUGCAGGUUGUUCUAUCGCUGUUUCGAUUUAUCGGAAGAGAGGAAAGUCCGGGCAACGCAGGGCAUCUCGCUUUCUAACGGAAAGGAAUUCAGGAAUGAAAACCUGAAUUACGGAUCAGUGCAACAGAAAAUAUACCGCCCCGAGCAAUCGAGGUAAGGGUGAAAACGUGCGGUAAGAGCGUACGAGCAUUGCAGGCGACUGCAGUGGUUUGUAAACCCCGAGAGUUGAAAGACCAAAUAGGCUAACGCAUGUAGGGCUGCCCGUCCGAUGUUAGUGGGUAGGUCGUUAGAGAUAAACGGC